rnacentral:rRNA from 1 species
UACGAAGGGGGCUAGCGUUGCUCGGAAUCACUGGGCGUAAAGGGUGCGUAGGCGGGUCUUUAAGUCAGGGGUGAAAUCCUGGAGCUCAACUCCAGAACUGCCUUCGAUACUGAAGAUCUUGAGUUCGGGAGAGGUGAGUGGAACUGCGAGUGUAGAGGUGAAAUUCGUAGAUAUUCGCAAGAACACCAGUGGCGAAGGCGGCUCACUGGCCCGAUACUGACGCUGAUGCACGAAAGCGUGGGGAGCAAACAGG